AUGGGAAAUCAUACGGAGCCUGAAGAAAUUAAUGAAUUAAUGGAUGUAGUGACCGCUUAUCUAUAUGGGUCACUCGAUGCGGAAAUUUUUAUGAAAGUUCCUGAUGGACUUAAAAUUCCGAAUCCAAAUAUAAAUCGCAACAUGUAUUGUGUAAAACUACAAAAGUCACUCUAUGGCUUGAAGCAGUCGGGUAAAAUGUGGUAUAACCGACUCAGUGAGUUCCUUCUCAGUAAAGGAUACUCGAAUAACAAUGAUUGCCCAUGCGUAUUUAUAAAGAAAUCCUCAAAGGGAUUUUGCAUCAUCUCAGUAUAUGUUGAUGAUCUCAACAUCAUUGGCAACACAUCAGAUAUAACUGUAGCACGCAAUCAUUUAAUGACGGAGUUUGAGAUGAAAGAUUUGGGAAGAACCAAAUUCUGCUUAGGUAUACAACUUGAGCAUUUUCCCUCAGGAAUACUCGUUUAUCAACCCGCUUACAUUCAGAAAAUUUUGGAAAAAUUCAACAUGGAUAAAUCAUAUCCAUCCAAAACACCUAUGGUCGUCAGAUCCCUUGAUAUGAACAAGGAUCCUUUUAGACCAAGGGAUGAUAACGAGGAGGUAUUGGGACCUGAGUUUCCAUACAUCAGUGCCAUAGGAGCACUAAUGUACCUUGCAAAUUGUACUAGACCAGACAUUGCCUUUGCAGUAAAUUUACUGGCUCGACAUAGUGCAGCUCCAACAAAACGCCAUUGGACAGGAGUAAAGAAUAUCUUCAGAUAUUUACAAGGUACUAAAGAUCUUGGUUUAUUCUAUCGGAAAAAUCAAGACAUGACCCUGAUUGGUUAUUGUGACGCUGGAUAUCUUUCUGAUCCCCAUAAUGCCAGGUCACAAACAGGGUUUGUAUUUUUAUAUGGUGGAACCGCUAUUUCAUGGAAUUCAACAAAACAGACUUUAGUAGCUACUUCCACCAAUCACUCUGAAAUAAUUGCAUUAUUCGAAGCCUCACGAGAAUGUGUUUGGCUCCGUAGAGUAAUAAAUCAUAUUCAGACAUCAUGCGGUAUUGGUUCAUUACAAUCACCAACCAUUAUCUAUGAAGAUAAUGCUGCAUGUAUUGCUCAAAUGCAUAUGGGAUAUAUUAAAAGUAAUAUCACAAAACAUAUCUCUCCAAAACUAUUUUUUCCUCAUGAAUUACAAAAAGAUGGAGAGAUUGAUAUUUUGCAAAUAAAAUCUUGUGACAAUCUUGCAGAUUUGUUCACUAAGUCUUUACCAGCAGCAGCGUUUCAAAAAUGCAUUCAUGGCAUUGGUAUGAGACGACUACGAAAUUUGCAAUGUUCAGGGGGAGAAAUUUCCUAG
rnacentral:rRNA from 1 species